rnacentral:rRNA from 1 species
GCAGCCGCCGCGGUAAUACGGAGGGUGCAAGCGUUAAUCGGAAUUACUGGGCGUAAAGCGUGCGUAGGUGGUGGUUUAAGUCCGUUGUGAAAGCCCUGGGCUCAACCUGGGAAUUGCAGUGGAUACUGGGUCACUAGAGUGUGGUAGAGGAUAGUGGAAUUUCCGGUGUAGCAGUGAAAUGCGUAGAGAUCGGAAGGAACAUCUGUGGCGAAGGCGACUAUCUGGGCCAACACUGACACUGAGGCACGAAAGCGUGGGGAGCAAACAGGAUUAGAUACCCGCGUAGUCCCUGUCUCUUAUAC